AGUGAACGCUGGCGGUAGGCCUAACACAUGCAAGUCGAACGGCAGCACAGUAAGAGCUUGCUCUUACGGGUGGCGAGUGGCGGACGGGUGAGGAAUACAUCGGAAUCUACUUUUUCGUGGGGGAUAACGUAGGGAAACUUACGCUAAUACCGCAUACGACCUUCGGGUGAAAGCAGGGGAUCUUCGGACCUUGCGCGAUUGAAUGAGCCGAUGUCGGAUUAGCUAGUUGGCGGGGUAAAGGCCCACCCAGGCGACGAUCCGUAGCGGGUCUGAGAGGAUGAACAGCCACACUGGAACUGAGACACGGUCCAGACUCCUACGGGAGGCAGCAGUGGGGAAUAGUGGACAAUGGGCGCAAGACUGAUCCAGCCAUACCGCGUGGGUGAAGAAGGCCUUCGGGUUGUAAAGCCCUUUUGUUGGGAAAGAAAAGCAGCAGGUUAAUACCCCGCUGUUCUGACGGUACCCAAAGAAUAAGCACCGGCUAACUACGUG
rnacentral:rRNA from 1 species